AGUGGAGAGCAAAGCUACUUGGGGAAGGGCAACAUGUGUGGAGAGUGAGGCAGUAACUGCAGGAGAUCCUGUUCACCUCAGUCCAAACAGCACGGAUGCCCAAACAAAACAAAACAUUAUAAAAUCUAUAAGCACACAUUUAAAACCUUAGACAUCUGCUGUCACACAAAGUAAAAAACUUAUAAAAAGGCAAUGAGAUUUGCUCUAUUACAUUCCACAUGACAGACUGUGGAUAGCUCACAUGAGUGAAACUGGAAUUGUUGAUAGUGGACACCCAUGGAGGUCAUUGGCAUACCAGCUCAUUUGCCAAGAGGAGUAUGAUACUGCCUUGCUCCACACAUGGGGCUAUUGCUAUAUAUCUUCCAUCACACCGUACGCUUUGCUCCCUGUUCACAGGAUGACACUUCUUUCACUAUUGGUAAGUUGACCAGUGAUGAGCUGUUUACAGUUCUGGGGUCUCCAGUAUCAU